AGAGAUGGAUUGGUGCCUUCGGGAACUCUGACACAGGUGCUGCAUGGCGUGUCGUCAGCUCGUGUCGUGAGAUGUUGGGUUAAGUCCGUAACGAGCGCAACCCUUGUCCUUAGUUACCAGCACGUUAUGGUGGGCACUCUAAGGAGACUGCCGGUGACAAACCGGAGGAAGGUGGGGAUGACGUCAAGUCAUCAUGGCCCUUACGGCCUGGGCUACACACGUGCUACAAUGGUCGGUACAAAGGGUUGCCAAGCCGCGAGGUGGAGCUAAUCCCAUAAAACCGAUCGUAGUCCGGAUCGCAGUCUGCAACUCGACUGCGUGAAGUCGGAAUCGCUAGUAAUCGUGAAUCAGAAUGUCACGGUGAAUACGUUCCCGGGCCUU
rnacentral:rRNA from 1 species